rnacentral:rRNA from 1 species
UAACGUAGGGAAACUUACGCUAAUACCGCAUACGACCUACGGGUGAAAGCGGAGGACCUUCGGGCUUCGCGCAGAUAGAUGAGCCGAUGUCGGAUUAGCUAGUUGGCGGGGUAAAGGCCCACCAAGGCGACGAUCCGUAGCUGGUCUGAGAGGAUGAUCAGCCACACUGGAACUGAGACACGGUCCAGACUCCUACGGGAGGCAGCAGUGGGGAAUAUUGGACAAUGGGCGCAAGCCUGAUCCAGCCAUGCCGCGUGGGUGAAGAAGGCCUUCGGGUUGUAAAGCCCUUUUGUUGGGAAAGAAAAGCAGUCGGUUAAUACCCGAUUGUUCUGACGGUACCCAAAGAAUAAGCACCGGCUAACUUCGUGCCAGCAGCCGCGGUAAUACGAAGGGUGCAAGCGUUACUCGGAAUUACUGGGCGUAAAGCGUGCGUAGGUGGUUUGUUAAGUCUGAUGUG